GACGAACGCUGGCGGCGUGCCUAAUACAUGCAAGUCGAGCGGAACUGGGGGAGCUUGCUGCUUCCAGUUUAGCGGCGGACGGGUGAGUAACACGUGGGCAACCUGCCCUGCAGAUCGGGAUAACUCCGGGAAACCGGUGCUAAUACCGAAUAGUUUGAGGCCUCUCCUGAGGCUUCACGGAAAGACGGUUUCGGCUGUCACUGCAGGAUGGGCCCGCGGCGCAUUAGCUAGUUGGUGGGGUAACGGCCCACCAAGGCCACGAUGCGUAGCCGACCUGCGAGGGUGACCGGCCACACGGGGAGUGAGACACGGCCCAGACUCCUACGGGAGGCAGCAGGAGGGAAUCUUCCGCAAUGGACGCGAGUCUGACGGAGCAACGCCGCGUGAGUGACGAAGGUUUUCGGAUCGUAAAACUCUGUUGUGAGGGAAGAACACGUACCAACUAACUACUGGUACCUUGACGGUACCUCACCAGAAAGCCACGGCUAACUACGUGCCAGCCGCCGCGGUAA
rnacentral:rRNA from 1 species